AUACGUGCUUGGGCAUUACGGCUCCUCCUCCAGGAAUCUUGAGCUACCCUGUAAAGAAGUUUGGCUACCACUGCUGGCGAGGUUUCCUAACAAGAGAGAAGCAUUAGGCCGCCCCCAAGUGCUCUGGGCCUCCCAGUAGACACUCCAGACAUGUGAGGAAGAAGCCAUCAUGAAUGGUCCAGCCCCAGCAGACAUGGUAACACGUGAAGCAGAAAAACCCCCUGCUAAGGCCAGCGUCAUUGCAGAAUAUCGCUUAAGCCGGUGAGUCUGGGGUGCUUUGUUAUGCAAUAAUAGAGAAUUCUGUUGGUCCAGAAAUAGCCACAGAGGCCAGAUAUGUCAAUAAACAGUGAAAACUGUCCUGCUCCAGCACUUUAAACCAUGCUACUGGUUUUUCUCUUCGGCGAUUCUGGUAACCGGAAGUCUUUCGUAUCAUGAAAUUUUGCUGGGACUUGCGUCAGUGACAACUUUGAUGGCUGUUUUCUCUCACAGGACCUUUCAGAGCCUUGAGUGUCACUCCUGGAAGAGACUGGGGAGACGGUGCACCCAGAGAGGAACAAAAUGGGGAGACGUGGUCUGAAUCAAAAACCAGAUUAAAAUGCAGUGUUAUCUGGGGGUGCUUUUCCCCCUGAGGGAAAACCCCUUUCGUCAUCUGAGGCCAUUGGCAGGUCCCCCCGUGGAGUUGGGUUGACCAAGCAGAACUGGUGGUACCGGAGCCAUCUGGUAAGGUGUUCACGCCUGAGUCUGGCCCAACUGCCAGACCUGCUGGGACAUUAAUUAGGGACCCGAGCAAAUAUCAUCCUGCUCUUACUUCCUGUCUCCCAGGCAGAAGCUACAAGUUUCAGGAAUUCCUGGGCCCUGCACCACUGGAUCAAGCUCCUUAUGGCAGAGGGAAGAGUGAAGGUUAUCAUGUUGUCUUUGAACAGGCCAGAGUCUGGGUGAAGGAAGGAAGAGGAACAAAUGAGAAGCUCAGCUUCCUUGCAGGGGGCAGAUUCGACGUCAGGUACAGUGCCUUACAGAGAUUUUUGGUGGAUGAAAAAAAAAAUACUGCAGAUUUUUAAAUACAGAGAUGGUGUCAAAGCUCCAGGAAAUUGCAUUCAGAAAGGAAUCCUGUAUGUUGACUUCUUGUGAAAACUAAUGAAAGGAAACCAGUUUAGUUCAGGUUAUGGUUGAGU